CUAUACAUGACUCUGCGCAUAUCAAUAAGCGGAGGAAAAGAAACUAACAAGGAUUCCCCUAGUAACGGCGAGUGAAGCGGGAAGAGCUCAAAUUUGAAAUCUUAAAGGGUUUCCCUUUACGAAUUGUAGUUUAAAGAAGUGUUUUCUGUUGAGGUUUUGGUAAAAGUUCUUUGGAAUAGGACAUCAUAGAGGGUGAGAAUCCCGUAUUUGACCUUUACUUUCAACUUUGUGAUACACUUUCAAAGAGUCGGAUUGUUUGGGAAUGCAGUCCAAAAUGGGUGGUAAAUUUCAUCUAAAGCUAAAUAUUGGCGAGAGACCGAUAGCGAACAAGUACCGUGAGGGAAAGAUGAAAAGAACUUUGAAAAGAGAGUUAAACAGUACGUGAAAUUGUCAAAAGGGAAGCGUUUGACACCAGUGUUGUUUUUCUGAAAAUCAAUUAAAGAACUGUUUAUGCUAAGCUGUUUAGACUUUAUCAGCUAUCUGUUUAGUUUUGAGCUUUUCUUUAAUGCACUUUUCAGUUAACAAGUCAACAUCAAUUUCUUUUGCUGUAAAAAAGCUUGAGGAAGGUGGCUUGAGAUUCGUCUUAAGUGUUUAUAGCCUCUUGCCUAUGCAGUCGGAGAGAUUGAGGUCUGCAGCGUAGAUCCUUCGGGGCUAAAUGCAUUUGUGCUAAGCUUAUAGCAUUUUAUAGACAACUUGUUGACUAUGAUUUGUCUUGUAGCUUACUCGCUUAUGUUAUUUUACCUACGCUUAGGAUGUUGAUCUACAGAGCGAGAGU
rnacentral:rRNA from 1 species